UUGAAGAGUUUGAUCAUGGCUCAGAUUGAACGCUGGCGGCAGGCCUAACACAUGCAAGUCGAGCGGUAGCACAGAGAGCUUGCUCUCGGGUGACGAGCGGCGGACGGGUGAGUAAUGUCUGGGAAACUGCCUGAUGGAGGGGGAUAACUACUGGAAACGGUAGCUAAUACCGCAUAACGUCGCAAGACCAAAGUGGGGGACCUUCGGGCCUCAUGCCAUCAGAUGUGCCCAGAUGGGAUUAGCUAGUAGGUGGGGUAACGGCUCACCUAGGCGACGAUCUAGCUGGUCUGAGAGGAUGACCAGCCACACUGGAACUGAGACACGGUCCAGACUCCUACGGGAGGCAGCAGUGGGGAAUAUUGCACAAUGGGCGCAAGCCUGAUGCAGCCAUGCCGCGUGUGUGAAGAAGGCCUUCGGGUUGUAAAGCACUUUCAGCGGGGAGGAAGGCGUUAAGGUUAAUAACCUUGGCGAUUGACGUUACCCGCAGAAGAAGCACCGGCUAACUCCGUGCCAGCAGCCGCGGUAAUACGGAGGGUGCAAGCGUUAAUCGGAAUUACUGGGCGUAAAGCGCACGCAGGCGGUCUGUCAAGUCGGAUGUGAAAUCCCCGGGCUCAACCUGGGAACUGCAUUCGAAACUGGCAGGCUAGAGUCUUGUAGAGGGGGGUAGAAUUCCAGGUGUAGCGGUGAAAUGCGUAGAGAUCUGGAGGAAUACCGGUGGCGAAGGCGGCCCCCUGGACAAAGACUGACGCUCAGGUGCGAAAGCGUGGGGAGCAAACAGGAUUAGAUACCCUGGUAGUCCACGCCGUAAACGAUGUCGAUUUGGAGGUUGUGCCCUUGAGGCGUGGCUUCCGGAGCUAACGCGUUAAAUCGACCGCCUGGGGAGUACGGCCGCAAGGUUAAAACUCAAAUGAAUUGACGGGGGCCCGCACAAGCGGUGGAGCAUGUGGUUUAAUUCGAUGCAACGCGAAGAACCUUACCUGGUCUUGACAUCCACAGAACUUUCCAGAGAUGGAUUGGUGCCUUCGGGAACUGUGAGACAGGUGCUGCAUGGCUGUCGUCAGCUCGUGUUGUGAAAUGUUGGGUUAAGUCCCGCAACGAGCGCAACCCUUAUCCUUUGUUGCCAGCGGUUCGGCCGGGAACUCAAAGGAGACUGCCAGUGAUAAACUGGAGGAAGGUGGGGAUGACGUCAAGUCAUCAUGGCCCUUACGACCAGGGCUACACACGUGCUACAAUGGCAUAUACAAAGAGAAGCGACCUCGCGAGAGCAAGCGGACCUCAUAAAGUAUGUCGUAGUCCGGAUUGGAGUCUGCAACUCGACUCCAUGAAGUCGGAAUCGCUAGUAAUCGUAGAUCAGAAUGCUACGGUGAAUACGUUCCCGGGCCUUGUACACACCGCCCGUCACACCAUGGGAGUGGGUUGCAAAAGAAGUAGGUAGCUUAACCUUCGGGAGGGCGCUUACCACUUUGUGAUUCAUGACUGGGGUGAAGUCGUAACAAGGUAACCGUAGGGGAACCUGCGGUUGGAUCACCUCCUU
rnacentral:rRNA from 1 species